AUUGAACGCUGGCGGCAGGCCUAACACAUGCAAGUCGAACGGUAACAGGAAGCAGCUUGCUGCUUCGCUGACGAGUGGCGGACGGGUGAGUAAUGUCUGGGAAACUGCCUGAUGGAGGGGGAUAACUACUGGAAACGGUAGCUAAUACCGCAUAACGUCGCAAGACCAAAGAGGGGGACCUUAGGGCCUCUUGCCAUCGGAUGUGCCCAGAUGGGAUUAGCUAGUAGGUGGGGUAACGGCUUACCUAGGCGACGAUCCCUAGCUGGUCUGAGAGGAUGACCAGCCACACUGGAACUGAGACACGGUCCAGACUCCUACGGGAGGCAGCAGUGGGGAAUAUUGCACAAUGGGCGCAAGCCUGAUGCAGCCAUGCCGCGUGUAUGAAGAAGGCCUUCGGGUUGUAAAGUACUUUCAGCGGGGAGGAAGGGAGUAAAGUUAAUACCUUUGCUCAUUGACGUUACCCGCAGAAGAAGCACCGGCUAACUCCGUG
rnacentral:rRNA from 1 species